AGAUUAAGUUAUUAAGGGCGCACGGUGGAUGCCUUGGCACUAGAAGCCGACGAAGGACGUUACUAACGACGAUAUGCUUUGGGGAGCUGUAAGUAAGCUUUGAUCCAGAGAUUUCCGAAUGGGGAAACCCAGCACGAGUUAUGUCGUGUUAUCUGCAUGUGAAUACAUAGCAUGCAAGAAGGCAGACCCGGAGAACUGAAACAUCUUAGUACCCGGAGGAAGAGAAAGAAAAAUCGAUUCCCUGAGUAGCGGCGAGCGAAACGGGAAGAGCCCAAACCAAUAAGCUUGCUUAUUGGGGUUGUAGGACACUCUGUACGGAGUUACAAAAGAAUUUGUUAGACGAAUAACCUGGAAAGGUUAAUCAGAGAAGGUAAUAAUCCUGUAGUCGAAAACGAAUUCUCUCUUGAGUGGAUCCUGAGUACGACGGAGCACGUGAAAUUCCGUCGGAAUCUGGGAGGACCAUCUCCUAAGGCUAAAUACUCUCUAGUGACCGAUAGUGAACCAGUACCGUGAGGGAAAGGUGAAAAGUACCCCGGAAGGGGAGUGAAAGAGAACUUGAAACCGUGUGCUUACAAGUAGUCAGAGCCCGUUAAUGGGUGAUGGCGUGCCUUUUGUAGAAUGAACCGGCGAGUUACGAUCUGAUGCAAGGUUAAGCAGAAAAUGUGGAGCCGUAGCGAAAGCGAGUCUGAAUAGGGCGAAUGAGUAUUUGGUCGUAGACCCGAAACCAGGUGAUCUACCC
rnacentral:rRNA from 1 species